rnacentral:lncRNA from 1 species
GGAUGACAGAAAGCAUGAAGGAUAAUUCCUGGAGUUUGCAGAUGAACAGAAUCAAUGUUCAAUUUGAAGUACAUGUGUGAUGUCAAAAAAGAUGUCAAGGAAGCACUUGGAUAUGGAAUUGGAGCAUGGAGGAAUGCACAAUGCUAGUGUGGAAGAGACAGCAUCUAUGUGUGGAGUUCUGAUGGUAAAGGAUUUAAAUGGAGAAGGGCACCACUCUCUACUGAGAAUUCUGGAAAAUUUUGAAGAGGAGAAUGUGAUGGAGAGUAGGGGUGUAACAGCCAUUUGAGGAUCUGUAAGGAAUAGGCAAGUCAAGAGGCUGAAAAAUCUGAAGCAUGUUUCCAAAGAGCAACCUGACAGUCACUUGCUGGGUAUGGAGUGGCAUGAGGAAGCUCUUUCUAUUGCUUUCUCUCUUGCUGUCCCAUGCAGCUCAUUUGGAAUGCAAAAAGGAUAACCAGUUCAUCUGGAAACCAGGGAUACUGAAGAAAGACUGUUGGCCCAUAGUUGUGCAUGGCAUUCUCUCGAUGUGGAAGAAAGGACCAAACCAAAGAAAGGACCUCCUUUGCUUCAACUCAGAUUCUUUUGUGUUUUAGGCAGGUGGUGCGGAGAGAUACACAUAGGUUGUAAUUGUGAUAAAGGCUCCCACGUUUGGUGGCUAGAUACUGAAAGUACUUUUAAACAACUGCCUGUUUAGGUGAUUGAAAGACUUCUACCAUUGACUUGGUUCUCUG